CAGCACAGGGAGCUUGCUCCCGGGUGGCGAGUGGCGCACGGGUGAGUAAUACAUCGGAACGUGUCCUGUUGUGGGGGAUAACUGCUCGAAAGGGUGGCUAAUACCGCAUGAGACCUGAGGGUGAAAGCGGGGGAUCGCAAGACCUCGCGCAAUUGGAGCGGCCGAUGCCCGAUUAGCUAGUUGGUGAGGUAAAGGCUCACCAAGGCGACGAUCGGUAGCUGGUCUGAGAGGACGACCAGCCACACUGGGACUGAGACACGGCCCAGACUCCUACGGGAGGCAGCAGUGGGGAAUUUUGGACAAUGGGGGCAACCCUGAUCCAGCCAUGCCGCGUGCAGGAUGAAGGCCUUCGGGUUGUAAACUGCUUUUGUCAGGGACGAAAAGGAUCGUGUUAAUACCAUGGUCUGCUGACGGUACCUGAAGAAUAAGCACCGGCUAACUACGUGCCAGCAGCCGCGGUAAUACGUAGGGUGCAAGCGUUAAUCGGAAUUACUGGGCGUAAAGCGUGCGCAGGCGGUUCUGUAAGACAGAUGUGAAAUCCCCGGGCUCAACCUGGGAAUUGCAUUUGUGACUGCAGGACUAGAGUUCAUCAGAGGGGGGUGGAAUUCCAAGUGUAGCAGUGAAAUGCGUGGAUAUUUGGAAGAACACCAAUGGCGAAGGCAGCCCCCUGGGAUGCGACUGACGCUCAUGCACGAAAGCGUGAGGAGCAAACAGGAUUAGAUACCCUGGUAGUCCACGCCCUAGACGAUGUCUACUGGUUGUUGGGGUUUAUUAACCUUGG
rnacentral:rRNA from 1 species